UGCCAGCAGCCGCGGUAAUACGGAGGGGGUUAGCGUUGUUCGGAAUUACUGGGCGUAAAGCGCACGUAGGCGGACUAGAAAGUUAGUGGUGAAAUCCCGAGGCUCAACCUCGGAACUGCCUCUAAAACUCCUAGUCUAGAGUUCGAGAGAGGUGAGUGGAAUUCCAAGUGUAGAGGUGAAAUUCGUAGAUAUUUGGAGGAACACCAGUGGCGAAGGCGGCUCACUGGCUCGAUACUGACGCUGAGGUGCGAAAGUGUGGGGAGCAAACAGGAUUAGAU
rnacentral:rRNA from 1 species